UGGGGGGUUGAGUAAUAUGUUGAUGCUCGAGUGCCAAAUCAACACAAAGGGCCAGGAAAAGGUCUAAGCCAUCAGGUUCCCAGUUUAGGAAAAAGAGGAAAGAAGAAGAAGAGGAGAAACAAGCUAAAUAUAAAGGGGCACUUCUGAAAUAUUUUGGAGCACCCUCAGCCACACAGGCCUCUUCAGAAAUGAUCUCGGAGCCUCAGGAAGAGGAGCCAUCCACCUCCUCAGCCACACAGGUGUCUUCACAAACGUUGUCUGAGCCUGAGGAUGAGGAUGAAGACCCAUUUGCUUCCACUUCUCCCCAGCAGGAUUCUUCAGAUUGCACCUCGGAUGUCAGCCACACUGAAGAUUUGUCAGUUGUUAUUAGGAUUGUGUCACUGAAGGACGAGCCCCACAUAAAGGAACAUUUUAUGGGGUUUCUGGAGGCAGAGGAGACCACGGGUCAACAUUUGGCAUCCCUGAUUCUCAAAAGAUUAGAGGAGCUAAAAAUUCAUUUUGAGGACUGCAGAGGACAGUCUUAGGAUAGUGGGGCCAACAUGAGAGGCAAAAACAAAGGUGUCCAAGCCAGACUCCAGGAAAUGAAUCCAAGAGCUCUAUUUGUGCCAUGUGGGGCUCACACAUUGAACCUGGUUGUGGCUGAUGCUGCUAAAAGUUUGCCGAUGCCACAGAUUACUUUGGUAUCUUACACAAACUGUACACCUUGUUCUCAGCCUCCACACAGCAAUGGGCCAUCCUGAAAAAACAUGUGGACAUCACUUUGACGAUGUGGACUGAAACAAGGUGAGAGAGGAAAGUUGAGUGUCGAGCCACUGAGGUAUCAGGCAGCAGCGGUGAGAGAGGCACUGAUUGAGGUGAGGUAUCAAACCAAAGACCCUGUGAUAAAGAUUGAGGCCCAGUCCUUGUCAGAGGAGGUGGGAUCAUACCGCUUCAGCAUCUGUGCAGUGGUGUGGUAUGACAUCUUUUUUGUUGUUGUUGAAAACUCUGUUUAUUCAGUUUUACACACAGGACAACACAAGACAAUAUAAAUAAUAUACUCAACUAGAAAAAGAUACAAAUAAAAAAGAAUAGCUUUAAAGAUACCGUACUUUGGACAAGUUAAACACACCGGGCAGAAGGCUACCAAGGUUAAAGGGCAAUCUGUAGGGACAGAGCAGACACCUCACCAUUGUUCCUGUAAACAGACAAGGGAUAGGGGUGGAGAAAUGCAACCACUCACAGACAGUCGUGGCCACAGAUGUCACCUGCUGACCAUAGAGAGCCUUUGUUUUUCUAUUGUAUAGUAGGUCAGGGUGUGACUUGGGGGUAUUCUAGUUAUU